AACGAACGCUGGCGGCAUGCCUAACACAUGCAAGUCGAACGAAGCCUUCGGGCUUAGUGGCGCACGGGUGCGUAGCGCGUGGGAAUCUGCCUUUUGCUUCGGAAUAACAGUUAGAAAUGGCUGCUAAUACCGGAUGAUGUCCCCCUGAGAGAUCUUGGGGACCAAAGAUUUAUCGGCAAGAGAUGAGCCCGCGUAGGAUUAGGUAGUUGGUGGGGUAAAGGCCUACCAAGCCGACGAUCCUUAGCUGGUCUGAGAGGAUGAUCAGCCACACUGGGACUGAGACACGGCCCAGACUCCUACGGGAGGCAGCAGUGGGGAAUAUUGGACAAUGGACGCAAGUCUGAUCCAGCAAUGCCGCGUGAGUGAUGAAGGCCUUAGGGUUGUAAAGCUCUUUUACCAGGGAUGAUAAUGACAGUACCUGGAGAAUAAGCUCCGGCUAACUCCGUGCCAGCAGCCGCAGUAA
rnacentral:rRNA from 1 species